rnacentral:rRNA from 2 species
GAUUGAACGCUGGCGGCAGGCUUAACACAUGCAAGUCGAGCGGAGAGARGUAGCUUGCUACUGAUCUUAGCGGCGGACGGGUGAGUAAUACUUAGGAAUCUGGCUAUUAGUGGGGGACAACAUUUCGAAAGGGAUGCUAAUACCGCAUACGUCCUACGGGAGAAAGCAGGGGAUCAGUAAUGACCUUGCGCUAAUAGAUGAGCCUAAGUCGGAUUAGCUAGUUGGUGGGGUAAAGGCCUACCAAGGCGACGAUCUGUAGCGGGUCUGAGAGGAUGAUCCGCCACACUGGGACUGAGACACGGCCCAGACUCCUACGGGAGGCAGCAGUGGGGAAUAUUGGACAAUGGGGGGAACCCUGAUCCAGCCAUGCCGCGUGUGUGAAGAAGGCCUUAUGGUUGUAAAGCACUUUAAGCGAGGAGGAGGGUACUGGUAUUAAUACUACCAGCUACUGGACGUUACUCGCAGAAUAAGCACCGGCUAACUCUGU